AGUAGAGUAGGAUAUGAAUACUCUGUCUAGAUACAAAUAUAAUACCUCUCUAGGUCUAUGGUCCACAAUAGAAACCCCAAUUGCACCCAACUCAACUGUAACUUGUAAAUGAGAUCCAUUCUCCUGCAUCUGGUUCUGUAUGUGAGAACUGCCAAGAUUUCCAACUUCUGCUAGAGACAUGCUCCCUUCUUUUGAACUUAAUAAUGCUGCUCCCUCAUCGAUAAACCUAGCAACCCUGACAUCAGCCAUAUCUAUAACACGGAAAAGCAAGCCUAAUCCAUCACUUUCAGAACAGAACCCUGACUUCUCCAAAUCAAAUUUCCAGACCCUAGAGCUAUUUCCACUGUAAAUCUCAGCAUCAAUAAGUUUUUGGCCAUAGGGAUUCUCCCAUGAAAAGUUUGUGGUUGAAAGAGGGAGUAGCUGGAUCCAUGCAUCAUUGCAAAAUCCAGAUUGCCGAAGUCUAAUGACCUUUCUCUUCGUCCUGUUUUCGAUCCUAAUUGGACCCCUUGUUGAUCCAAGGCGAAAAACAACAAUGAAA
rnacentral:misc_RNA from 1 species